rnacentral:rRNA from 1 species
GACGAACGCUGGCGGCGUGCCUAAUACAUGCAAGUCGAGCGGACAGAUGGGAGCUUGCUCCCUGAUGUUAGCGGCGGACGGGUGAGUAACACGUGGGUAACCUGCCUGUAAGACUGGGAUAACUCCGGGAAACCGGGGCUAAUACCGGAUGCUUGUUUGAACCGCAUGGUUCAAAUAUAAAAGGUGGCUUUUAGCUACCACUUACAGAUGGACCCGCGGCGCAUUAGCUAGUUGGUGAGGUAACGGCUCACCAAGGCAACGAUGCGUAGCCGACCUGAGAGGGUGAUCGGCCACACUGGGACUGAGACACGGCCCAGACUCCUACGGGAGGCAGCAGUAGGGAAUCUUCCGCAAUGGACGAAAGUCUGACGGAGCAACGCCGCGUGAGUGAUGAAGGUUUUCGGAUCGUAAAACUCUGUUGUUAGGGAAGAACAAGUACCGUUCGAAUAGGGCGGUACCUUGACGGUACCUAACCAGAAAGCCACGGCUAACUACGUGCCAGCAGCCGCGGUAAUACGUAGGUGGCAAGCGUUGUCCGGAAUUAUUGGGCGUAAAGCGCGCGCAGGCGGUUUCUUAAGUCUGAUGUGAAAGCCCCCGGCUCAACCGGGGAGGGUCAUUGGAAACUGGGGAACUUGAGUGCAGAAGAGGAGAGUGGAAUUCCACGUGUAGCGGUGAAAUGCGUAGAGAUGUGGAGGAACACCAGUGGCGAAAGCGACUCUCUGGUCUGUAACUGACGCUGAGGCGCGAAAGCGUGGGGAGCGAACAGGGUUAGAUACCCUGGUAGUGCACGCCGUAAACGAUGAGUGCUAAGUGUUAGAGGGUUUCCGCCCUUUAGUGCUGCAGCAAACGCAUUAAGCACUCCGCCUGGGGAGUACGGUCGCAAGACUGAAACUCAAAGGAAUUGACGGGGGCCCGCACAAGCGGUGGAGCAUGUGGUUAAUUCGAAGCAACGCGAAGAACCUUACCAGGUCUUGACAUCCUCUGACAACCCUAGAGAUAGGGCUUCCCCUUCGGGGGCAGAGUGACAGGUGGUGCAUGGUUGUCGUCAGCUCGUGUCGUGAGAUGUUGGGUUAAGUCCCGCAACGAGCGCAACCCUUGAUCUUAGUUGCCAGCAUUCAGUUGGGCACUCUAAGGUGACUGCCGGUGACAAACCGGAGGAAGGUGGGGAUGACGUCAAAUCAUCAUGCCCCUUAUGACCUGGGCUACACACGUGCUACAAUGGGCAGAACAAAGGGCAGCGAAGCCGCAAGGCUAAGCCAAUCCCACAAAUCUGUUCUCAGUUCGGAUCGCAGUCUGCAACUCGACUGCGUGAAGCUGGAAUCGCUAGUAAUCGCGGAUCAGCAUGCCGCGGUGAAUACGUUCCCGGGCCUUGUACACACCGCCCGUCACACCACGAGAGUUUGUAACACCCGAAGUCGGUGAGGUAACCUUUUGGAGCCAGCCGCCGAAGGUGGGACAGAUGAUUGGGGUG